rnacentral:misc_RNA from 1 species
UGCAUUUAAAAAUAACAUUUUGAUUACUCGAGUACAAUUGAAUGACAAACUUGUUUAUCAAAACUAUGUCAUGACCAUGUGUAAGAAGAGUAGCACAAAGAUUACCCUUUUGACACUCUUCCCCCUCUCUGUCUCCUCCCAAAUUCAAAACAAAACCAAAACAUCAGAGCGGUAUUAGUUGUACGCACAACCCAACCCCACAUCCAAAUACAGAAAUAAUUAAAUCAUACAAUCCCCUCCAACAUCCUAUCACCAGCUUCUGAUGACACUUUCCACACCAAACAAGGUGAAAAAAGUGGUAUCAGCAGAGGAUUCUUUCUUAAGCAAGACAUGAAGUUAUCCUUGCUUACUCUCCCAUCACCAUCAGUAUCAAAUAAUUUGAAGAGCGCGUGGAUCUCAUGAUCAUCCAAGUCUGGGAUUGCAAGUCUAAUGAUAUCUCCCAACUGUUCUUUUGAAAUUUGACUGUCUCCAGCACUGCNNNNNUAGUUCACAGGUUUGCCUGAAUAAUGGUUGCUUCAUGACAUGAGCCGAUCCAUACAAGAACUGCUUGAAUGUGAUUGAUCCAUUCUUUUCCACAUCAAUGAACCCAAAUAUCUCUUCUGAAAUAGUACAAGUUCUUAGUCUCAUUACCCUCAAAAAGUCAUGGAAUUUAACACGACCACUAGGGUCUGGAUUCAUUGAGAGAACCUUGUCAAGAAAGUCCACAGCU